CAGAACAAGACUGGGACUCCUAACUCUAGUCCAUAGACUCAGUACCUGCUCCCGAAGGGUGCUGGGUGCUCAUCCCCAAGGCUUGUGUCAUAUUUACUGCUGUGUACACGUAUGGGUACCUGUCGUGACUGACAUGUUACAUGGGGGAAGUAGAGAGACAUGGAAAGGGACCUUUCCCUUUAUUAUUGUGAGUGCCACCUUCGGGGCCUUCCUCAGCUCAUAUUUCAUUCAGAGUCUUCCUGUGGCUAUAAUGGGCUGGGGGUGUUAAUUGAGGGCAUUGGCUCGCCCUGUUACUUGUGUCCUAAUCAGGAAGUGCAAAGCUGCGUUGCCCACUGUAGUAGGUUGAAUGGUAGCCCCCAAAAGACAGGCCUACCAGAAUCUGUGGACAUGAACUUGUUUAGAAAAAGAGUCUUUGCAGAUGUAAUUAAGGAUCUUGAGAUGAGAUCAUCUUGGAUUUAGAGUGAGCCCUAAAUACAGUGACAAUUGUCCUUAGAAGAGAAGGGGAGAAAACAUAGAGGGGAAGACCACAUGAAGACAGGCAGAGAUUGGGGUGGGGGUGGGGCCACAUCAAAGAAUGCCAAGAAUUGCCGGCCACCACCGGAGCAGAUUCUCUUCAGAACCUCCAGGACGCCAGCACAGGGAUCGAACCCUGGACCUUGGUGUGAUCAGCACCGUGCUCUAACCAACUGAGCAACUGGCCGCCUCCAUCUAAUGUUUUAACAAUGGCCGGGAUACACUCCACUCUCCUGUCCAUGGACAUCAGAG